AAUAAGUGCAGUUUUACACUAUUCACGUUCAACGUUUGACCGUUUGUUUUAUUUGUAAUUUUUUUAUUAGUAUAUUUUAUUGCUAUUAGAUGAUAAAACAUGAAUAGUAUUUUAUGUGUGACUAAAUAUUUUCAAAUUUUUCACAAAUUUUUUAAAUAAGACGGAUGAUCAAACGUUGGGCACGGAUAUCCACGGCUGCACUUAUU
rnacentral:pre_miRNA from 1 species